rnacentral:rRNA from 1 species
UGGGGAAUAUUGGACAAUGGGCGCAAGCCUGAUCCAGCCAUGCCGCGUGAGUGAUGAAGGCCCUAGGGUUGUAAAGCUCUUUCACCGGUGAAGAUAAUGACGGUAACCGGAGAAGAAGCCCCGGCUAACUUCGUGCCAGCAGCCGCGGUAAUACGAAGGGGGCUAGCGUUGUUCGGAUUUACUGGGCGUAAAGCGCACGUAGGCGGACUUUUAAGUCAGGGGUGAAAUCCCGGGGCUCAACCCCGGAACUGCCUUGGAUACUGGAAGUCUUGAGUAUGGUAGAGGGGAGUGGAAUUCCGAGGGUAGAGGUGAAAUUCGUAGAUAUUCGGAGGAACACCAGUGGCGAAGGCGGCUCACUGGACCAUUACUGACGCUGAGGUGCGAAAGCGUGGGGAGCAAACAGG